UACGUAGGGUGCGAGCGUUGUCCGGAAUUACUGGGCGUAAAGAGCUCGUAGGUGAUUUGUCGCGUUGUUCGUGAAAACUCACAGCUCAACUGUGGGCGUGCGGGCGAUACGGGCAGACUGGAGUACUGCAGGGGAGACUGGAAUUCCUGGUGUAGCGGUGGAAUGCGCAGAUAUCAGGAGGAACACCGGUGGCGAAGGCGGGUCUCUGGGCAGUAACUGACGCUGAGGAGCGAAAGCGUGGGGAGCGAACAGG
rnacentral:rRNA from 1 species